GUUUAAAUAGCUUAAGUUGUAAGUAUAUUAUUGAAGUUAAUAUGAUGAUUUUAGAAUCUUUAAACA
rnacentral:tRNA from 1 species